rnacentral:rRNA from 1 species
UAGGGAAUCUUCGGCAAUGGACGAAAGUCUGACCGAGCAACGCCGCGUGAGUGAAGAAGGUUUUCGGAUCGUAAAACUCUGUUGGUAGAGAAGAACGUUGGUGAGAGUGGAAAGCUCAUCAAGUGACGGUAACUACCCAGAAAGGGACGGCUAACUACGUGCCAGCAGCACGCGGUAAUACGUAGGUCCCGAGCGUUGUCCGGAUUUAUUGGGCGUAAAGCGAGCGCAGGUGGUUUAUUAAGUCUGGUGUAAAAGGCAGUGGCUCAACCAUUGUAUGCAUUGGAAACUGGUAGACUUGAGUGCAGGAGAGGAGAGUGGAAUUCCAUGUGUAGCGGUGAAAUGCGUAGAUAUAUGGAGGAACACCGGUGGCGAAAGCGGCUCUCUGGCCUGUAACUGACACUGAGGCUCGAAAGCGUGGGGAGCAAACAGGAUUAGAUACCCUGGUAGUCCACGCCGUAAACGAUGAGUGCUAGAUGUAGGGAGCUAUAAGUUCUCUGUAUCGCAGCUAACGCAAUAAGCACUCCGCCUGGGGAGUACGACCGCAAGGUUGAAAC